rnacentral:rRNA from 2 species
ACGGGAGGCAGCAGUGGGGAAUAUUGCACAAUGGGGGAAACCCUGAUGCAGCGACGCCGCGUGAGUGAAGAAGUAUUUCGGUAUGUAAAGCUCUAUCAGCAGGGAAGAUAAUGACGGUACCUGACUAAGAAGCCCCGGCUAACUACGUGCCAGCAGCCGCGGUAAUACGUAGGGGGCAAGCGUUAUCCGGAUUUACUGGGUGUAAAGGGUGCGUAGGUGGUAUGGCAAGUCAGAAGUGAAAACCCGGGGCUCAACCCCGUGGAUUGCUUUUGAAACUGUCAAACUAGAGUACCGGAGAGGUAAGCGGAAUUCCUAGUGUAGCGGUGAAAUGCGUAGAUAUUAGGAGGAACACCAGUGGCGAAGGCGGCUUACUGGACGGUAACUGACACUGAGGCACGAAAGCGUGGGGAGCAAACAGGAUUAGAUACCCUGGUA